CUGCCUUUGUUCCACUUGUGUCUGAACGUUGGAGGAGAAACAGCAGGCUCCAGUUUUCAUUAACUCAUUUGCAGAAGUGUAAAAUUCAUGUUCACUGAACAUUUUCCCCACUCUGAGGUCUUUCAACUGACUUUCAAACAAUGCUGUCAUGUCGUGCCUGGUGGACCUGGGAUGUGCUACUACUGUUCUUAGGCCUGUCGAUCCAUGCUUGUUCAGCAGCUCAGGUCAUAGAAGAAAAGCUUUGUUAAGGCACAUACGAGAUGAAGAGGUGAUUCAAGACAGCCAGCAUGUUUUCACCAAGGGCAGAUGGCAUCUGACCAAACUUGUGGCCUUCUAUGAUGGAGUCAUUGCAUCAGUGGACAGUGGACAGUGGCAUCUCGUAUGUGCCUUAAAGUAGCUUCUAGGAGGAUCUGCUCCAUGAUCUUCUCAGGCACAGAGGUGAGGCUCACCAGCCUGUGAUUCCCCAGGUCUUCCUUUCUCCCUUUCUUAGAAAUGGGAGUAAUGUUUCUCUUUUUCCAGUCACCAGGGACUUCACCCAACAGCCACAAUUUUUCAAAUAUGAUGGAGAGCGGCUUGGCAACCACAUCAGCCAUCUCUUUCAGAACCCCAGGAUGUAUCUCAUCUGGCCCCAUGGACUUAUACACGUUCAAUUUCAUGAGGAGGACUUGGACUUGUUCCACUGUUACAGUGGGACAGAAACCACUUCCCACACCCUCACCUACAGGUGGUUGUCAACAUUUAUUUCCCUAUUUACAUGGAAGAUGGGCUGUUAUGUGAAUGAGACAGGAAGGAAUUAAGGAAGCAGCAAUUUUUUUCCUUGACUCUCCCCUAAUCUUUUCUGGAGCAG
rnacentral:lncRNA from 1 species